rnacentral:rRNA from 1 species
UGGUAGAGUGAAACUGCGGAUAGCUCAUUACAACGCCUACAUUUUUCUUGAUUGUCAAUCUACAGGAUAACCGUAGAAAAUCUAGAGCUAAGACUUGCAUUGAUAUCCAGCCUUUACUGGCUGGAUGCAUUUUUCUGAUAUCCGAUCGCAUGUUGCCGUAAGGCUUCAAGCGAAAGGUGAUUCUAGAUGACUUUGCUGAUCGUAUGGCUUUAUGCCGACGACAGAUCAAAUAAAAUCGCGCCCUAUCAAUUUGUAGUUAGGAUAUUUUCCUAACUAGAUUACGACGGGUCACGGGGAAUCAGGGUUCGAUUCCGGAGAGGCAGCUUGAGAUAUCGCUACCACAUCUAAGGAAGGCAGCAGGCGCGCAAAUUACCCACUCCCGAACUGGGGAGGUAGUGACGAGAAAUAUCAGUCUAACUCUUUGAGCAAUAGACUGGAAUGGACGAAAUUCAGGUCCAUUCGUGAAUACUAGCGAGGGGCAAGUCUGGUGCCAGCAGCCGCGGUAAUUCCAGCCUCGCACGUACAUGUAAAAUUUGUUGCAUUUAAAAAGCUCGUAGUCGGACUGUUUCACGACGUUUUGUUCAAAGCCAGCUGCAACUCGGCUAACCAGUUUCGAAGGGUUUUGAACUGGUCAAUUAGUCGUUGCAACUGGAUGAAUAGUCGUGAACAAGUACAAAUUUCGCUCCUACACUUAAUUGUGUGAGGGAUUGAACAUUUGUAGACGUACCUUGAACAAAUCGGUUUGUUCAAAACAGGCCAUAUCGAGCGCCUGGACAUUCGAGCAUGGAAUGAUCGAUCGAGACCUGAUCGUUUGGUCAGAAACGAAUAAGGUCCAGGUCAAAAGGGACAUUUGGGGGCAUACGAACUCGGCAGCGAGAGGUGAAAUUCUAAGACCUGCCGAGGUCGAACUAAAGCGAAAGCAUUUGCCAAGAAUGUUUUCAUUGAUCAAGAACGAAAGUUGGAGGAUCAAAAACGAUCAGAUACCGUUGUAGUUCCAACUUUAAACUAUGCCGACUGUUGGGGCCAGUUCGGUAUAUCCG